GACGUAGGGCGCGAGCGUUGUCCGGAUUUAUUGGGCGUAAAGAGCUCGUAGGCGGCUUGGCGCGUCGUCCGUGAAAACUCACAGCUCAACUGUGGGCGUGCGGGCGAUACGGGCAGACUGGAGUACUGCAGGGGAGACUGGAAUUCCUGGUGUAGCGGUGGAAUGCGCAGAUAUCAGGAGGAACACCGGUGGCGAAGGCGGGUCUCUGGGCAGUAACUGACGCUGAGGAGCGAAAGCGUGGGGAGCGAACAGG
rnacentral:rRNA from 1 species